rnacentral:lncRNA from 1 species
AAGCCAGGACUGCUUUUCUGGAGUGAUAAUGUGCUUGCCUGUGUCUAAGAGAAAGGUGAAGAAUUGGGAAACCCAUGGGUGUCACGAAGGGUGGUGAGACUGGGGAACGUUUUAGAAAACCUGGAGAUUAGGGACUGGAAUGCCCAUUUGGCUGCUGCCAAUCAAUAUAAGAGAAAAUGAAGCGAUCACAUCUAAGAAAAUUUGCUCAUUACUUACCAGCAAAAUCAAAACUUGAUUAGCCAAUCUGAAGACCUCUAGGAAAUGAGCACUAUUUUUCCCACUUAAUGGAUGUUCAAGCUUAAGAGGCUAAAUGAUGUUCCUAUAUUAAUAUCUCAAUGGUCAAACUGCCAUUAGAACUCAACAUUCUUGAAUUUUAAAGGUAUCGGUUUUACCAUUGUUCAGAAUUCAUCAGAAUUGGCCCAGUCUCAGCACAGAAAACUGUAUAGUUCAAAAGCAUAAUUGGUCCGUGCCUGAUUUGCACUACAAUUUCCAGAAUUUUUUUCCCUGUACGUGACUGGUGGAGGCACUAGCUAGUCUUUGCUACAAGAACAUUAUGAGAUUUACAUAUGCACAACUCUAAACUAAAUUAGUUCCUCCAGGACAAUUUACUGAGCUUUUUAACACCACCGUCAAGCACUGUUGCAAGGACAGAUAAUAGGGGCUCAGAUAAUAUCUGAUAAAUGAAUAAAUGGGUCCUUUUGCUCUCCCAGGACUGGGCUAGAGCACUUGACUAAACUGAUGUGUGAGGUAGCAAUUUGUGUACAGAAGUCAUGAGUUUUGAGGAAAAAGAAAUUAAAGAAACAUGUUCUCUAAAAACUGCAGUCAUUGGUCAAGAAUACGAGUCUACUUGUGAUUUCAUACAAAUAAUGGGUGGACAGUGAGCUAUGAAAUUUAUGAAUACUCUAAGCAAAGGUUGGUCAGCAUACGUGCUAAACAGGAAAUCCUGAUAAGUAGGAAUAGUGCAAGCCACACUGCAACUUUUAUCAUAUUAGGUUGGUGCAAGGUCUACCAGAUGUGUCUUGCCUUCCCAUGUGUAAGGUCAACCAGAUAGCUCUCACCUUUCCAUGUCUAAGGUCAACCAGGGGGUGCUUGCCUUCCCGUGUCUAAGGUCGACCAGAUGGCUGUGUGCACCAACCUAAUAGAACAUCAUAAGUAUCUUGAGUUCAAGAUAAAUCCAUACCUUACCUACACUGUCUCCCAAUUAUUAUCAAUUGUCUUCUGCCAUCUCUUAAGUCAUUAUUAUGUCAAAUAAUUAAAGUCGGUGUUUCCUUUAGUUUUGUCACUGGUGAUACUACUACUUGCUCUUCAAAAUGUAUCUUUAUUCAUCUAACAUUUUGCAAAGUAAAGUUUCAAAGUUGUUCAGCAAGAAAGACAUUAUUGGAUGCCCAGGUUUGUAUUAGUUUGACUUAUAUUAUUAUUAAUUAGCACCCCUUUUAACUCUCAAAAGUAUGUCCUAGUAUAGAUGAUAAUUUAUAUGAUCACUCUAUAAAUAAGAGUGUCCAGAUAAUAAGGAAUAAGAAGAAUAAUUUUAGAAAUUCAAAGGGGAUUCAUAAGGAUAUAUUGCAAAUCAGGUUCCAGGUUUAUAGGUGAAGACUAAUUUCAACAUUGGUGAUAAUAAGGGGAAAAUGAGUUGCAGCGUGGGGGUGAGUAUGAAGAAUUAGGCAGUUGCUAUGUGAUGAAAAUGCCCUACUAGGAGAUUUUAUUAAGAAAAAAAUCUUAUUUUUUUUCUUAAUAACAGUACCCUGGCUGAUAAAUGGGACUUGGAUUUUAAAUACCAUUGGAUAAUAAAUGUAUGUGAUGGCUUUGGAGCAAAUUGAUUGACAAUGGCUAGGUAAGACUUCAGCCACUUUUCUAAGGACUGUUUCUAUAGACUAACCUAGAUAUAUUUUUCUCAUCCGUCACUUCCAGUUACUUUGAAUGUAACUCCUUCUGUAAACAUUAAAAAAGAAAAAGAUGAAGGGAUAGGGAUGGAAGGAAUAGAGGUCUCUGAUAACAUCCUAUAAUACUAACAUAGAAGUGCUUCUGAAUCAUAAAUAACUCCAUUCCUUUCCCUGAGAAACUAAAAUCACUGUUUUAAAAUGUGAAUCUGCUACUCAGGAGGCUGAGGCGGGAGAAGUGCUGGAGACCAGGAGUUCGAGACCAGACUGAACAACGUAGUGAGACCACCCCCGCCCCCGACCCCCAGCCCCAACUAAAAAAUAAGGACUAAAAUUAGCCAGGUGUGGUGGUGCAUGUGUGUAGUCCCAGCUGCUCAGGAGGCUGAGGCAGGAGGAUCACUUGAGCCCAGGAGCUAUGAUCAUGCCACCAUAGUCCAGCCUGGGCAACACAGUGAGACCCAUCUCUAAAAAUGUGAAUCUGUGUGUAUUGGUGUAAAGCAACCCUGGGAAUUAUUGACAUUUUGAAAAACAAGAAGGGGUGAGACAGUCCUGCCAGUUCCUCCUUUUUCAGUCUCCAUAUGUAUAAAUAACAUGCAAAUAGUCAUAUAACGCAGAGAAACUGGAAGUGUAUUGAAUUUGCAACUUUUUUUUUUUUUUUUUUUUUUUUUUUUUUUGCUUGAGGGCUUCCAUUUAGUGAGCACUCCUCAGUACUCACAGCAGAGUAUUGCCAGAGGAACUGUAAAAAAUUAAGUUUGCUAUCAGGCAACCAGCAAUUGACUAGGUAUGGCAUGUAUCAGUGUAUCCACCAGGCGGUACUGAGGCUUCAUUUCUUUGCUUAUUUGAAAAUAAGGUGGAAAAUGGCACAACAGCCUGACCUGAUUUGCAAUGUGUCCCUUAGAGCUUAGGCUAGCCAUUCAGUCUUUUCCUUUUCUAGGUAACUAACAGUGGCUGGACUAUGGCUUUGAAUAUGGGUCACAGAUGAGUAAGCCUUCCUCAACUGGUUCUGCUUCCUGUUUUCCAUAUAUAGGGGCCCCAUUUUUUCCUUUUCAAGUCCACACAGCAUUGCCUCCAAUGGGUGUGAGCAUUCCUUACCAGCAUUCAGAUGCUGAACAUUUUUAACAGCCUACGGGAAACAGUGUUUUAGGCAGCUCUUUUCAAACACUGAGUUUCUUCAGCUGUGGAAGAGAAUGUCCUUCCCAAAUAAGAAUUAAAAAAAAUGCCCAAUAUAAGCAAUUGAAUAGCACUGGAGUUAUUUUUAGGAACCAGGGUCACUCACUACAGGAAAUGAUCGUGUUGCCAAUGCGUUAAAGCUAGUGACUUUAAAAAAUAUUAUUUAUUUUCUCAUUUAACUGCAUCUCGAGGAAAGUUAGCAGUUGCAAUUUUAAGUUAGGAACUUCUCAAUUUCAGGCCAGAUUCAUUAGGGAGUAGGAAGGAUACCUUUCACUUAAAAAAAGGCAUUUGGGCUAAGUAAGAACACCUCCCCUGCAACUCCCUCCCGCCCUCCCGCACAACACUCAAAUUAAUCCCCACAACAUAUUAUCUUAGGCAGAGUUCUUGCCUCAUGCCUAUGAAUGGGAUGUCAUGAAACCCCUAAAAUUCUAGACAGAAUUUUACUUACACAUAUAUAUCUGCAUUGUUGUGGUUUGAAUGAGAUCUUAACCACAAAACAUUAAGAAUAACUAUUUUAAGCACUUACACGAUUAGUUCUUUUAUAGACUACCUGCCUAAACAAAUGUCAUUGUGGUUGCCUUGGAACUGUGAGUCGUAUAUUGAUUAGUUUAAUCAAAAACAAUAUUUAAAACAUCAGAUAGUGCUUCCAAAUAUUUUCUUAUGACAUGAUUUUCACUGCAUGUUAUUUAACCUGCAAGAGGUAGAACAGAAAAAGCAGAAUCUUUCGUGAUCAAACCGCACAACUAAAGAGUGUGCUGUUUAUGUCUACUUUUCAAGGUAAGAUAAACUUCAAAGAGAAAUGAACUUUUAAUUUCAAAUUCCAAUUUACAUAUUAGGACUUAAAUGACUUCAAAUCAUAUCUAAAAAUCACCAUAACCAAACCAUUGUAAAUUUUUACUUACAUUGAGAAUAAAAAUAAAUAAAUGUUAAGUAUAUUUCCUAAUAAUAUUUGCCAUGCAGCAUUUGGAAGAACAAGUCCUGUGACGCUUCUACUUUAAGAUUUCUGCAUUGUUGUUGGCUGAUGUCAUAGACUGUUCCUCUAUGAUCACAAGAAUUCCCUAUUUAGAACUGCAUAUGGGUGCCCGUUGGGUAACGUUUCAAGUUGAAAGAAUUUUGCAUUUUGUGUUAUUGUACUAGAAUGAAAUAAUCUUAAUCUGAAAAGUUUUGAUGGUUAAACUCUUUAAUAUUUUUGUAUUCCUGACUAUUUUCUUCAUUUAGCUAAGUUUACACUGAAGUCCUUAAUUACCCUUCUCCUUUUAUGAUAAAAAUAACAUCCUUCAUUAUCUAUAAUUUUCCAGUGGCUUCCACAUGCCAAAAACGUCAACUACACAAUUUUUCUCUUAUAGUCAGAACACUGGCUUGUGGAAAUGAAGCACUUCAUUCGAAAUUUCACCAGUAAAUGUUGUUGAUGUGUGAUCUCUAGCUUACAGAAUAGAUGGAACUGCAUUCUUACAUUUAAACAAUUAUCCUCUGAUUAAAUAAAUUCAAAUACAUCUAAGGAAUAGAAUAAUUAUCAGUUUUAAAUAAAAAUUAGUUAGACAAGUUUAACAAGAUGCCCAAUGCGUUGCAGUACAUAAUCCUUUUUGUGAAGUUUUUUUUUUUUUUUUUUUAAAGACGAAUUCUUGCUCUUGUCAUCCAGGCUGGAGUGUAAUGGCGCGAUCUUGGCUCACUCUGCCUCCCAGAUUCAAACGAUUCUCCUGCCUCGGCCUCCCGAACAGCUGGGAUUACAGGCGCCCACCACCAUGCCUGGCUUUUUUUCGUAUUUUUAGUAGAGAUGGGUUUUUGCCAUGUUGGCCAGGCUGGUCAACAAAGUAAUUUUGAUAGUAUCCACAUUUGACCGGGCGCAGUGGCUCACGCUUGUAAUUCCAGCACUUUGGGAGGCUGAGGCGGA